CCCUCCCCCAAGUAGAUAACCUAGCCAGCCGCCACUCUCUCCACUCCACAGCGCCAAAACUCCUCCUCCUACCCUCCUCUGUCCUCUCUGCAUCUGACUCGCCGGACAGCACCGUCACGGCGGCCCUUCCGCAUCGCGCUCCCUCUUCUCGGCGCGGUCCUUUCUCUCCCUCCCUUCCUCGUCACGCUUCCUUCUCGUCGUCGCACACUAACCCUCAGUCAGAGUGCGAGCCUAGACCCCAGAGCUCCCCUCCCUUUCCCCUGCACAGUGCCGUCUCCGAUGUUGCAGCGUCGUAAUCGUCCUCCACUACUCUGCCAUACGUCGCAAUCCAGUCCAGGAGUGUCGUCGUCCUUCUCAAUCUAGUCUCGUCCCCUCCGUAGCAGCCGCCGACCCACCGUGUCUCACUGUCCAGCAUCUCCGUCUUCUAUAGUAGGAUUUUUUAAUUCUGAUGAUUUUGAGUUUCAACUUAUGUUUAUGAUUCUGAAUUUUUAUUUCUAUUUUGAUUUUGAUGAUUCUGGUAUUCAAAUUCUGUGUUUAGGGUUCUGAUUUUUUAUUGUAUUUUUUAUUGUAUUUGUAUUGUGUUCAGUGUAUUUUGAAAUUGCUAAUUGUUGUGAUUGUUGUAUUUGUUUAUGCAGUUUGUUGUAUUUGGGGAUUUUAGCUUAUGAAUGUGUAUUAUUUCUAAUUGUUAGGGUUCUAGGUUCUGAUUGUUAAAGAAGGUGUGUUUUUUAUUGUUAGGGUUCUAGGUUCUAAUUGUUGUAUUUGGGGAUUUUAGCUUAUGAAUGUGUAUAUUUAUUUGAUUAAGGAAAUUGCUUCUGAUUGUUCAAUACUUCAAUGUAUCUGUUUAGGAAAAUUGGUUCUGUGGUUCACUGUUCAAUUUAUUUGUUUAGGAAAAUAAUUUCUGAUUGUUCAUAAUGUAUUUAUUCAUUGUUGGUGAGCAUGUUGAGAACUAUCCCAAUUGCUUGAAAUGUUUGGAUCUUUGUUUGCAGAUUUUAUGCAUUCAGUGAAAGAGUUCAUAUGAACAACUUUGGAGAACCUAUCAAACUGCAUGUAUUUUUAAUGUUUAGUGAAUCAUGAUGUUUAUUGUUUAUGUGCUAGAAAUAUCCUUUUUUACUUUCUUAUUGUUUAAAUCUGUAGAAAUUUACAGGAUACAAAAACAAAAAAGAGCAUAUAAAUGGUCAUGAAAGAGAUUUUGUGUUAUGAUGAUUGAUUGGUGCUGCGCCAGUUCCUCUUCCAAAUGAAUGUACCUCUUCCAAAUGAAUCUACAAGCAUUAGAUCUCCGACUGCAUUGCCUGCUGCGCCAGUCCUCGUAGAAAUACUGAAAAUUUAUAUUUAUUUUAUCUUGUGUUGACUACUAAACUUUUAAACUUCUUUAAUUAUUGUUUGUUAAUUUCUUUUAUCGUUGAAUUUUAUUGGAUUAAGACUUUGUUAGUUAUUGUGUAUUGUGUUUGUUGAUUUCAAUGUGAUGACUUUGUGAAAUA